GGGAGGGCGGGAUCAGUGAAAACCACGUGAUCAUCCACGAGUGCGGUGCAGAGUCGCUGAGAAAACCGGAACGGCAGAUGCUGGAGAAUCCGAGAUAACACGGUGUGCAGCUGGAUGUACACAGCAGGUCAAGCAGCAUCAGAGGAGCAGGAAAGCUGACGUUUCGGGCCUAGAUCCCUCGCUGAGACCAAGAUUUGUGCAAUUGAGAUACCAGCGAUCGUUGCCAAAGCCCUGUUACCUGUGGAGAAGGUGAUGUUUAACUUUCGUGUGCUACUGCAGUUUGUAUGAUAAAGGUGCUCUCACAAUGCUCCAUUUGAGAAGUUACAGAUCAUUCAUCUAGCGAUACUGAAGAGCUAAUGGUGAUAUUACAAGUGGACUUUCAGGUAGGAAGCUCAAUAAUUGUAACACCAAACUCUGACAGAAUUACUCAAUUCAUCAGGACCUGGAUAUUCGCAUUGUGUAUUUCCACAAUUUUACUUCUGCACUGCUCUUACUCUUUCAGAGGGAUUGAAAGGUGGAGUUACAGAUCUAUACAAUGACUGUCCUUCCUCGCUGGCUCUCCCAAUUCUCUCUUUUGGUAGUUUGAUGCAAACACUGACUGGAUCCCUUACCUGGAGGAUAUUUAUGAAUGAAUUUGUUCUAAUGGUGAUCCAGCAUAUUCCCCAAGUGUUGCUGUACACAUGUCCAGAGAAUUUCUCAGUUUCACAAUCUGUGUCCUUCUGGUUUCUUACUUACUUUCUCUUUGAAAGUAUAGUCUGCAGUUGGAGAAUUUAAACAGGCCCACAUCCAGGUCUGACGGUCACUUUGUUUAUCACAACCCAAUUUUCUCAGGAUUUUGAACAUUGAAGGAAAAAGCAGCACUCACAUUGGGGAGAAAUGCACAUGGUGUGUGUGUUGAAGAGUCUGUGAAGAUUCAUCUGAAAUGUCCAAACACCAGUGCAGUGACACUGGGAGACAGUGUGGAAAUGUGCAGAUUGCAGGAAGGAAUUUCUUCAUCCAUCCCAGCUAGAAACUGACCACCAGAGUCACACUGGAGAGAGACCAUUGACCUGUUCUGCGUGAGGGAAAGGCUUUGCUGACUCGAAUUCCCCGCUGAUACACCAGCGAGUUCACUCUGGGGAGAGACCUUUCAUGAGCUCUGUGUGGGAAGGGAUUCAUUGUCAUCCAAACUGUUAACACACCAGCGAGUUCGCAGACAACCACAGUUGAAGAACAUUGCUGUCACUCUCACUAUCAAAUAAACCAUGGUGUUGGGCUGUUUGUACAGAUGUUACCGAUACCUGCUCAAUUAAAGGUGCUGGUAUUGUGAAUAAAAUGUCACACUAACAGUUGUGUAAGGUAGAGCUUGGAAAUAGUCACGUUGUCACAACACAUCGACACAUUCACACUGACUAAAGCCUAUCCACCUGCAUGAUAUGUGAAAAGGGAUUUCCUGGUACAUUCCUGGUUCCUGGUUAACGACCAGCAAAUUUCUGAAUAAGUUGAUUGGUUUGAAUAUAGCUAACAGUAGAAUCAAAAAUAGUAUCAGUGAUAAUGGGAACUGCAGAUGCUGGAGAAUCCAAGAUAACAAAAAGUGUGGAGCUGGAUGAACAUAGCAGGCCAAGCAGCAUCUCAGGAGCACAAAAGCUGACUUUUCGGGCCUAGAGAAGGGUCAAGGCCUGAAACGUCAGCUUUUGUGCUCCUGAGAUGCUGCUUGGCCUGCUGUGUUCAUCCAGCUCCACACUUUGUUAUAGUCGAUUCAAAAACCAUGUGUUUUGGGCUUGUUUCUGGAGAUCAUAGAAUCCCUCCACUGUGGGAGCAGACCACUUAGCCCAUCAAGUCCGCACUGACCUGACGAAGAUUGUCUUACCCAGACACUGUCUGCGUGAGUUUCCUCCAGAUGCUCUGGUUUCCUCCCACAGUCCAAAAAUGUGCAAAUUAUGUAGAUUCACUAUGCUAAAUUGCCCAUAGUAUCUUGUGUGCAAAAUGCAGGGAUAGGGUAGGGUGUGAGACUGGUUGGGAUGCUCUUUGCAGGGUUGAUAUUGACUGAAUGGCCAUCUUCCACACUGUAGGAAUUCUGUGAUGAUCUCGAUGGCCCUUUAUUUGUUAGAUAGGUCUGCACACCUUUACAAUGACAGAUUCUGUUGCUCUCCCACAGACAUUUGUUUAUUGGAAACAAUGUAAUCUUUCAGUUUGUGGAUAAAAAUCAAAGGAAUGUUUUAAAUCCAAACAUAGGAUUGGGUUGAGUCAUGUCCUAUAAUCCCUGAUUUGCAUUUUCCCCGUCGGCUAUGAAACCUGGUGACCGCUGUGACUCUGCCUGGGAGCAUUGCAGUCUCGUCAGCUCUUUACCUGGUGUCCAUAGCAGUGAUGGAUCUCAUGACGGAAACAUAAACCAAAACAUUGUGUGAUUUCUAGUACAUAUUUUCUAUUUAGUCUUCUGUCCAUCACUUCCCUAGAGGCUGAGAUACUGGUCUGGGGACCUAGGUGUGAAUCCAUCUGGAAAUAAGAAUGUGAUGAUGACUGUCAAUCCAUUGCCUUUGUUGGAAAAACCCAUCUGUUCACCAAUGGCCUACAGGGAAGGAAACUGCCAUUCUUAUCCAGUGAUGUGAUCAUCCCAUGAAUGAAUUUUUUAAAAAAAUUAAAAACUCCUGCAAAUACGUUAAACUGUCUUAAUUUAUUUGACAGCUGACAGUUCAAACUGCUUGAUGGUCACUUUCUCUUUUGAUCAAGUUGUGGCCAUUUCAUAGUUGAAACCAUAGUAAUUCUCGUACAAACAGUGCAUGCUCUGACAUGCCACUUAUGAACCAGACAUCCACGUUGACCAUAUCCUGAUGCUGUGUACCACGAAAGCAAAAUUCUUCACCAUCUUAUCUACUUGUGUUGCAAUUUCAGAGAGCUAUGGACUUGAACCUCCCAAACUCCCGAACACUUUUUGAGAAUUUCAUCAAACUGACCUCCAAUGGCAGGAAUGGACAGGGUCAGCUUGGAUUGAUGAUCAUAAUUCAGGCUCAACAAAUCUACUGGAGCAUUUUGAAGAUGUAACUGGUGACCAUCUGCUGACUCGCCCUUGACUGACUGCUGGUAAUAACAGUGAUAAGCUGCAUGGCUUAUGCCUGCAGUAAACAGCCAGGCAAGACAGGAGCACUGUGAGACAUUAGGUUCUAGUUGAGACAUCAAAGUGCUAAAAUGCCAGGGAAAGGCAGAGAUAUUGUGGCAGGCCCUAAGCAGAACAUGCCUCAGGUGCUGAAAAGCAUGUAGAGUUCUGACAGCAAGAAUGUACUUUGUGGACAGGCAAUUCUGCAUCUUGAUGUAACAUUUUUAUUUCACUCUGGCUCAUUUUGCUAGAUCUGCAAAUAUCUAUUGGUCUGGCUAAUUUGAGAAUUGGCUUUCGGUGUAAUGUGCUGAUUCAUUUCUGGAGAAACUCAGCAGGUCUAGAUGCAUCUUUGGAGACAGAGAAACAGAGUUAAGGCUUUAAGUCCAGCGAGGCCCUUCUUCAGAACUGAACAGGUUCAGAAAAUGGCCUUUUUAAUACCUUACCAGAGGUGGAGGAGGGCUAACAGAAAACAGAGGGUGUUGGGAUGCGGUGCAAAAUACAAAUGGGCUUUUAAUUGUGUUGAAAGAGAAGCAGAUGUACAAUGAGAGUAAAUAAAGUUGUGAAUGGGGGAGAUGGGUUCCCUCCACUGAAUGCAAUGUUAACAAGACACAAACAAGACAAGGUCACAUCGUCUGUGCCAUAUUGUGUUCAUCAUAUCUCCAAUAAUAACCCUGAAUGUGUUGAGCAUAUGUGAACAAUCUUAUAUGUCUACACACAUACGCUGAUUAAACAGUGUAUAUAAAAUCAUUUCUCCUCCGUUCCGUUGCAACCUAUCGUGUUUUUUUCACCUGUCAGUCGCCAUUCCUUCAGCCAAAUUUAUUCUGUCUCUUUCUCUGCAUUUUAUUUUAUUCCAUCUAUGAAGAAGAAAUUGCCUAAUGGGCGAUAUCAUGUUAGUCCUGUCCAGUCUGCACAGCCACUGUCCCCUCUUCCUUACUGUUCCUUAAUCACUCACAUAGAUAUUGUCUCUGACCCUUUACUCCCAAUAAGCAAAGCAAUUGGAAAUGUAAUGUUUAGUUUUGGGCUCAGGCUAAAAAAUUGGUCAGGAAAGGCUGUAUAAACUGCAAAAAAUUUGUUUGCAACUUUAGAAGCAAAUUAUUGAAAAUAUUGUGUUAAGGAUAAAAUGUUCAUUUAUUAGUGCAGUGAGAGGAAAGUUCAGCAAAACCCACAUUUCCUGCCUUUCUCCAGGCAGUUGUGGCCAGAGAUGUGUUUGGAUUGGCAGUUGUUGUGGUGGAGGAGACUUCGGUGAAAUAACAACCUCUCAUUUGGCUCUGAGGAAAAUGGUUACAUACGUCAUCACAUGUGGAUAACACAGCAGAAUCAUCGAGCCUGUGCAGAGAAAGUAUCAACUUUCUCCUCUGUCUCUAUCAUUGUGAGAUGAAUUGGAGAUGGGCAUUGAGACCAAUAGCAGGCAAUGUCACCCAAACCAGGUAUUGUUGUUACAUUAAAAGUGUCAGAGUGAAAGGGGUUAACGGGAGCUGUUUGUUCAGUGACUCGAAUUAAUGUCAGUCUCCAUGGAUACUAACUGUGUCACUGGAGGGUUUCCCUCUUCUAUUAAUAAGGGGUUUCUCCCAAUGCGUUAUCCCACAGUAUCUGUGGCUGUGGCAUAUUCAACACAAUUGGGAUCAGCAGCUCCAGAGAUGUGGAGAGAUCAGAAUCUGUGACCAGCAGAUUGGGAUGUUCCAAAUGAUGGAUCAGAAUCUCAGAACCACAGCCGGGAAUGUGACAACAAUGUAUAAGAAACUGAGAGGAAUAGAUUGGAAUGUUCCAACAAUGGACAGGAGUUUAUCCUCUGGCCUUUACUAUCUUUCUAUCAAUUGGUUACCAUUAACAUUGUGGAUAGAAGCUGUCCUGAUGGUUAUUCAGGCGGGUUACUAUCCCAUCCUCGCUAUUGUUGGUGUUCCCGGUAAGUCUCUCUAUCUCUGCCCAUUCAUUUAUUCUGUGACCAGCGACUCAAUUUCUAAGCUCUGUAUUUGGCAACGAAGGAAACUAUUGUAUUCACUUUCAGUGACAAACUCAACUCUUAUUCCAGGGUUUUUUUCACCUUCACUUACAAACACCCGAGGAGGAAGAAAAGUGUUCAUAACCACCAUUGGCCCAUUUUGUCCUGAUCUGAUUUAUAUCACAAUAUUCCCUUUAUCACUAAUAAUAUCCUCAGUUUUCACUUCCGCUUCAGUGCUGUUUCUGAUUAAAUCAUAAUCUGCUCCUUUCCAGUUGCAGCUCUCUUCUGGCCACACUUGCAGUUACUAAUAUUUUGAUUGUAUUCUUAUUUUUAUCUCUACCUCGACCUAUGCCAGUUGCAAAGUGUGAAGCCAGUUUGAUUCUAAAAUGAGGAGGUUACAGCUUUGUGUCAGUGGUUUCAGCAUAACCCGUCGAUGGCCAUCAAAUGACAGUUCAUUGAACUGUUUAGAUUCUAGAACUUUCCAAGUAGCAGUGGUGCCAUGUCCAUUAUCUCUGAAGUGCAGUGCUCCGAUGUGUUCACUUGUUGAAGGAGGCAGUGUCUCUUCACCCCAACCCCCACUGACCCACUGCUGAGUGGGAUACAUUACUCUGUCUCCACAGAAUAAGAUAUAGGAAAUCUUCCAGAAAUUCUACAGGACUGUGACUGUGAAAAUGAGAAACUGUGGGAGAUUAGAAUUAAUAAAGCGGAACUGCUCAAAACUAAUUGAACUGAAGUUUGGUACUUUGCUCUGGUAUGUCCCAGAGAUUACAUGGAGGUGGGAAUAGAGCUUGUGAAAGAGUUACAGGGUCAGACAGCUCUUCAGUCCAACCAGUCCAUGUCAAACAUAAUCCCAAACUAUCCCAGUCCCACCUGCCUGGGCUUGGCCCAUAUCUCUCCAACUGUUUCCUGUUCAUGAACUUGUCCAAAUGUCAUUUAAAACUUGUAACUACGAGAAAGAAUUAUUGAUUACCAUUCAGAAUUCUUCAGAUUCAGGAAUUGCCAGUUCCUGCAGAAUGGAAGUAGCUGUUGUAACGCACAUUAAAAAAAAACUGGAGUGAGAGGGAAAUCAAAAUAAAAAUAAAUUUUGGACAACUUGAUAUCUGUUAUGAGAAAAAUAUGGAACCUUUUUUGAGGGCUGUAAAAACUAGACACUUGGGAAAUCAUGAUAUGACUUGGCAGAGUCAACUUCGAUUCAGGAAAGGGAAGUUAUCUUUGGUAAACCUGUGCAGUUUAUGUUAAUUGAAACAUCCAAAAAUUUCAGAUGUGUGUCCAAAUUAUCCCCAGAAAUGUCUUCCAUUGCUACUCCACCAUCUUCCCUAAGAUUCUAUUCCUAAUAACUCCAGCCCGUUCCUUCCUCAUGAUGUUUUUUUAGUUUCAUCACUCAGUUGUAAUUGUGUCACAUCCAAAUGCAAACAAUACAUUUAAACUGAAAGAGGGAGCUUUGAGAGAUAAAACAUGGAGAAAGAUUGGAGUAUUCAUUAACUUGAUUUAUGUCAUGUAUGUAUGAGAUAGAGAGAGAGAGAAUAUGGGUGAUGAGAUGUGAAAAUAGAGAAAACUGCAUUAUCGACUGAAGUUGAUGUACUUUCCAACUUGUUUUGGCAAUUCCUGUGUGUUGUGAUCCUUUGCCCAGUGCAUGUACGACUGAGUAAUAUGUAUAUAAUAGUUGAAGUAUCCACACAUGAGAACCAGUGAGAGCGGUGUAUUUGAAUUUACAGAGUACUUUUGAUAUGGUUGCACACAGGUGAGUGAAUAAAAUUAGAGUUGAGAGGUAAGGUGGAAUAUACUACAUGGAUUGAGAAUUGUUUAGUUGACGCAAUACAGAGAGUGGAGCCCUUUUCCAGGCUGAAUGCUGCUCGUUAUGGGGUAUCACAUGAAUCAGUGUUUGGACCACAGUAAUUUAAAAGGCAUACAAACUAUUUGGAUGUGGCCAGCAACAGCAUACAUCUCAUUUUGUAAUGAUUAAAUGAUGUGAGGUUGGGAAGUGUUGUGGUCACAAAAGGGCCUGCAUGUCCUUGAUCAUAGGUCACCAAAAUUAGUACAUGCAGCGCUAUCAGUCAUGUGGGAAGUAAAUGGUAUGUUGUCCUUCAUUGUAAGAUGAUUCAUGUACAUGAAUAAAACCAUAUGUCUGCACAUGUACAGCCUUGAUGAAAGACUAUUUAUGGGCACUGUGCAUAGGCUUGAUCCCUUUUGUAAUGAAAGAACUCCUUGCCACAGACACGGUACAAAUGGUCAUCACCAGUCUAAUCCCUGAGAUGAUGGUACCAUGAGGAGCGAGUGAAGAAAGUGAGUGUUUAAUAUGUUGUGCUGUGAGAGAAUCAGAGAUUACUGCAUUAAAAUUACAAAGUUGGUGAUGAACUCUUUUAUCCACAAAAGAAAUUGAUAGGGUGAGAAAUCCCAUACGUGACCCAUGUAAAUACAUGUGGAUUUUACAUAUAAAAUGACAUAGAGCCCCACAGUGAUUCAGAGAGAAGCACAGGCUCUGAAUGAACUCUCCCCACAUUAAUCUGUGACCUUACACUGAACCCGAUGUUGUUCACAAUCCUGACAGCAGCCCAAAUACCCUCUUUGUGACAUUAGCCAGACCAACCAGAUUCUGAUCUCCAUAGAGAACGGAAGCAUGUAUUUUCAGAGGAUGCCACUUGUGAUUUUGCACAAAACAUUAGUCUUCCCACCACACUACUGUAAAACUGCAUUAAAGUACUGCAUGUGUACCAUGAACAAUGGAGGCAUGUUGACCAGCGUGAAGCAGACUAUCUGUACAGCCUAGCUCCAUUUGCUUGUCAUGUUACCUAAGUCUGUUUACAUGUAAGUGACUGUAGGGUCUCAAUGGCCUUCUCCUUUUCAUAUGUAGGGACGCAAGGGGCUGUACAGCAGGGCCAAAUGCUGAAUUGAUCCACCCUGGGCUCCUGAGGAACAGUUCGAUGUGUUCAUGUGACAUUGCUGUAACUAAGCUAUUGGUGUCUCAAUGGAGUUGGAAGCUUCAGUGAAUGUCUCCUGACUGCAGAAUUUUCUUUGGAUGAUUAUUUUCUCCUCCUGAAUUGGAGAACCGCAUGUGAGAACCUUCUCUGAAUUUUAUUUCUGACCAAAGUGUCUGUUUAUGGGCUGCUACUAUGCUGGAACAGUUAAUUAGUAAUAUUUGCUAUAGCUAUUAUACUAUAAGUUUAUCCACCAGAGCGAGGUUAUUCUAAAUUCCUUUUUUUUGGUUCUACUUUGAC